AUAGGUUUGGUCCCAGCCCUUCUAUUGGCUGCUAGCAAAACUACACAUGCAAGUAUCCGCCUUCCAGUGAGAAUGCCCUAUAAAUCACCCAUGUGAUAAAAAGGAGCAGGUAUCAAGCACACUAUACAAGUAGCUCAUAACGCCUUGCUCAACCACGCCCCCACGGGAAACAGCAGUGAUAAAAAUUAAGCAAUAAACGAAAGUUUGACUAAGUUAUGCUUACUAAGGGUUGGUAAAUUUCGUGCCAGCCACCGCGGUCAUACGAUUAACCCUAGUCAAUAGAUCCACGGCGUAAAACGUGUUUAAGGAAUAUUUUUAUAAAGUCAAACUUUAGCUACGCUGUAAAAAGCUACAGCUACUGUAAGCCCUAACGCGAAAGUAACUUUAAGACACCUGAAUACACGACAGCUAAGGCCCAAACUGGGAUUAGAUACCCCACUAUGCUUAGCCAUAAACUUAAAGAGUCCUCCCAACAAGACUCUUCGCCAGAGUACUACUAGCCAAAGCUUAAAACUCAAGGGACUUGGCGGUGCUUCAUAUCCCUCUAGAGGAGCCUGUUCUAUAAUCGAUAAACCCCGAUCAACCUCACCAACCCUUGCCAACUCAGCCUAUAUACCGCCAUCUUCAGCAAACCUUAAAAAAGAACUAUAGUAAGCUCAAUCACAAUACGCAAAAACGUUAGGUCAAGGUGUAGCCUAUGGGUUGGAAAGAAAUGGGCUACAUUUCCUAUUACUAGGAUAUCACCCUCUUUAUACGAAAGUCCCCAUGAAAUUAAGGACUAAAGGUGGAUUUAGCAGUAAACUAAGAAUAGAGUGCUUAGUUGAAUAAGGGCCAUGAAGCAUGCACACACCGCCCGUCACCCUCCUCAAAUAUACAAGGGUAUUAAUUAACCCUAUUACCACUUACCUUAACUAUUAGAGGAGAUAAGUCGUAACAAGGUAAGCGUACUGGAAAGUGCGCUUGGAUAACC
rnacentral:ncRNA from 1 species